rnacentral:rRNA from 1 species
AAGAGACAGCAGCCGCCACGGUAAUACGUAGGUCCCGAGCGUUGUCCGGAUUUAUUGGGCGUAAAGCGAGCGCAGGCGGUUCCUUAAGUCUGAUGUGAAAGCCCCCGGCUCAACCGGGGAGGGUCAUUGGAAACUGGGGAACUUGAGUGCAGAAGAGGAGAGUGGAAUUCCAUGUGUAGCGGUGAAAUGCGUAGAUAUAUGGAGGAACACCAGUGGCGAAGGCGACUCUCUGGUCUGUAACUGACGCUGAGGCUCGAAAGCGUGGGUAGCAAACAGGAUUAGAGACCCCCGUAGUCCCUGUCUCUUAUAC